rnacentral:rRNA from 1 species
GUGGGGAAUAUUGGACAAUGGGCGCAAGCCUGAUCCGGCCAUGCCGCGUGAGUGAUGAAGGCCUUAGGGUUGUAAAGCUCUUUCAGUAGGGAAGAUAAUGACGGUACCUACAGAAGAAGCCCCGGCUAACUUCGUGCCAGCAGCCGCGGUAAUACGAAGGGGGCUAGCGUUGUUCGGAUUUACUGGGCGUAAAGCGCACGUAGGCGGAUUGGUCAGUUAGAGGUGAAAUCCCGAAGCUCAACUUCGGAACUGCCUUUAAUACUGCCAGUCUCGAGUCCGGAAGAGGUGAGUGGAACUCCUAGUGUAGAGGUGGAAUUCGUAGAUAUUAGGAAGAACACCAGUGGCGAAGGCGGCUCACUGGUCCGGUACUGACGCUGAGGUGCGAAAGCGUGGGGAGCAAACAGGAUUAGAAACCCGAGUAGUCC